rnacentral:rRNA from 1 species
UACGUAGGGUGCGAGCGUUGUCCGGAAUUAUUGGGCGUAAAGAGCUCGUAGGCGGUUUGUCGCGUCUGCUGUGAAAUCCCGAGGCUCAACUUCGGGUCUGCAGUGGGUACGGGCAGGCUAGAGUGCGGUAGGGGAGAAUGGAACUCCUGGUGUAGCGGUGGAAUGCGCAGAUAUCAGGAGGAACACCGGUGGCGAAGGCGGGUCUCUGGGCCGUAACUGACGCUGAGGAGCGAAAGCGUGGGGAGCGAACAGG